UCCCUGGUGGCUCAGUGGUAGAGGAUCUGCCUGCCAAUGCAGGACACACAGAUUCGAUCCCUGUUCUGGGAA
rnacentral:tRNA from 1 species